rnacentral:rRNA from 1 species
GUGGGGAAUAUUGCGCAAUGGGGGAAACCCUGACGCAGCGACGCCGUGUGAGGGAAGAAGGCCUUCGGGUCGUAAACCUCUGUCAGAAGGGAAGAACCGCCGGGGGAUGAAUAAGUCCUCGGUCUGACGGUACCUUCAGAGGAAGCGCCGGCUAACUCCGUGCCAGCAGCCGCGGUAAUACGGAGGGCGCAAGCGUUAAUCGGAAUUACUGGGCGUAAAGCGUGCGUAGGCUGUUUGGUAAGUCAGGCGUGAAAGCCCUCGGCUCAACCAGGGAACUGCCUUUGAUACUGCACAACGUGAAUCCGGGAGAGGGUGGCGGAAUUCCAGGUGUAGGAGUGAAAUCCGUAGAUAUCUGGAGGAACAUCAGUGGCGAAGGCGGCCACCUGGACCGGUAUUGACGCUGAUGCACGAAAGCAUGGGGAGCAAACAGGAUUAGAUACCCCAGUAGUCC